AUUGAACGCUGGCGGCAGGCCUAACACAUGCAAGUCGAACGAGUGGCGGACGGGUGAGUAAUGUCUGGGAAACUGCCCGAUGGAGGGGGAUAACUACUGGAAACGGUAGCUAAUACCGCAUACCAUCGGAUGUGCCCAGAUGGGAUUAGCUAGUAGGUGGGGUAAUGGCUCACCUAGGCGACGAUCCCUAGCUGGUCUGAGAGGAUGACCGGCCACACCGGAACGGAGACACGGUCCGAAGUCCUACGGGAGGCGGCAGUGGGGAAUAUUGCACAAUGGGCGCAGGCCUGAUGCAGCAAUGCCGGGUGUAUGAGGAGGGCCUUCGGGUUGUAAAGUACUUUCGGCGAGGAGGCGUUACUCGCAGAGGAAGCACCGGCUAACUCCGUGCCAGCAGCCGCGGUAAUUC
rnacentral:rRNA from 1 species